AGCAGCCGCGGUAAUUCCAGCUCCAAUAGCGUAUAUUUAAGUUGUUGCAGUUAAAAAGCUCGUAGUUGAAUUUUAGGCCUGGCCAGGCGGUCCGUCUUUGGCGAGUACUGUCUUGUGUCGGGUCUUCCUUCUGGUGAACCUGUAUGUCCUUUAUUGGGUGUGCUGGGGAGCCAGGACCAUUACCUUGAAAAAAUUAGAGUGUUUAAAGCGGGCUAUUGCUUGAAUAGAUUAGCAUGGAAUAAUAGAAUAGGACGUUGUGGUUCUAUUUUGUUGGUUUCUAGGACCACCGUAAUGAUUAAUAGGGAUAGUUGGGGGCAUUAGUAUUCAAUUGUCGGAGGUGAAAUUCUUGGAUUUAUUGAAGACUAACUACUGCGAAAGCAUUUGCCAAGGAUGUUUUCAUUAAUCAAGAACGAAAGCUAGGGGAUCGAAGACGAUCAGAUACCGUCGUAGUCUUAACCAUAAACUAUGCCGACUAGGAAUCGGGCGACGUUAUUUUCAUGACUCGCUCGGCGCCUUAUGG
rnacentral:rRNA from 1 species